rnacentral:rRNA from 1 species
GACGAACGCUGGCGGCGUGCUUAACACAUGCAAGUCGAACGGAAAGGCCCUGCUUUUGUGGGGUGCUCGAGUGGCGAACGGGUGAGUAACACGUGAGUAACCUGCCCUUGACUUUGGGAUAACUUCAGGAAACUGGGGCUAAUACCGGAUAGGAGCUCCUGCUGCAUGGUGGGGGUUGGAAAGUUUCGGCGGUUGGGGAUGGACUCGCGGCUUACCAGCUUGUUGGUGGGGUAGUGGCUUACCAAGGCUUUGACGGGUAGCCGGCCUGGGAGGGUGACCGGCCACAUUGGGCCUGAGAUACGGCCCAGGCUCCUGCGGGGGGCAGCGGUGGGGAAUAUUGCACAAGGGGCGGAGGCCGGAUGCAGCAACGCCGGGUGCGGGAUGACGGCCUUCGGGUUGUAAACCGCUUUCGCCUGUGACGAAGCGUGGGUGACGGUAAUGGGUAAAGAAGCACCGGCUAACUACGU